UGCUCUGAUCCUACUGCACUCUAUGCCUUCUGCACCGCUCUCUUCCCAGAACUUCUCUUCAGUGUUGACCUAAGGGGGUCUUUGCCUUUGUCUUGAGUUGAAUUUGUUUCCUAUGUCUUCUUGUACCUUGUGCCACCUUAUUUUGCUGGUACAUUUUCUACCCCAGCUUCCCAAGAUACUGUGCAUAGGAGGAUGAAAACUACCUACACCAGAAAAAGACGAAAGUGAAUGGGCGGAGAGGGACUGAAAAUUCCAUCAUAUGAGGAAUGUAUGAAGCAGGAUGGACAACCACAGAUGAAACAUUCCGUAAGCCAUGACCAGACCACUGAGUCAUCUGGUUUGAAAUGACAGGCUACUAUUAAAGGAAAUCACACAGUGAUGAAAGGAGGCCAGAAAGGAAGCUCUGGGGCCUUCUUUGUAAACCUUUUCAUUUUCUUCUCUUAGACUCUACUUAUUUUUAAGAAGUCUAAUUAUUCCUCUUGAUCCAAUCAAAUAAGAUCUUUUUUUUGCAACUUUUUUGGGCAGGACUUGAAUAUAAUAACUUUAUUCCAGGAGCCUUCCUGGUUAUCUCUGAAAUGAGAAAGAAGGAAAUACAAUGAUUUUUCAACAGCAUGGCUGGAAAAACUUUUAGAAGGU